rnacentral:rRNA from 1 species
GACGAGAAAUAACAAUACAGGGCAUUUUAUGCUCUGUAAUUGGAAUGAUGGGAAUCCAAACCCCUUUCAGAGUAACAAUUGGAGGGCAAGUCUGGUGCCAGCAGCCGCGGUAAUUCCAGCUCCAAUAGCGUAUAUUAGAGUUGUUGCAGUUAAAAAGCUCGUAGUUGGAUUUCUGUCGUGGUCUUCCGGUGCCGCCCGUACGGGUGCGCACUUGGUUUGCCCUCGGCAUUCUUCCGGUUUCCUUCCCCGCUUCAUUGCGUGGUUGGUUUUUCCGGAACUUUUACUUUGAGAAAAAUAGAGUGUUUCAAGCAGGCUUUCGCCUUGAAUACUUCAGCAUGGAAUAAUAAAAUAGGACUUUGGUUCUAUUUUGUUGGUUUCUAGGACUAAAGUAAUGAUUAAUAGGGACAGUUGGGGGCAUUCGUAUUUAACUGUCAGAGGUGAAAUUCUUAGAUUUGUUAAAGACGAACUACUGCGAAAGCAUUUGCCAAGGAUGUUUUCAUUAAUCAAGAACGACAGUAGGGGGUU